AAAGUCGUAACAAGGUUUCCGUAGGUGAACCUGCGGAAGGAUCAUUAACGUAUCUAAGGCGUUCGACCCGUGCCCUGCUCCCGCUGAGAGGCGGUGCAGCGGGCCCUCGUCGGCGUCUAACCUUCACAAACCCACUGUGCACCUUCACGGCAGAGGCUUGCGGGCGAGAGCUCGUUCGCCAAAGCCGUCUCUACAAACACUAGUAAAAAGAAUGUCAAAGCGACUCAGUCGCCCAUUAAACAUAACAACUUUCAACAACGGAUCUCUUGGCUCUC
rnacentral:misc_RNA from 1 species